AUUGGUUUUCAGCCUUUUAGUGAAAAUCAAGUGUAGUAGUUUCUAUCAGUUUAAUAUCAGAUAUGUCCUCUAAUCCAAGGACAAUAUAUCAAAUGGAGUUUUAGAACAGGAAGCUGGAAUAGGAGCUCACUCAGUCCACUCCAGGCAUCAACUUGAUAUCUUAGUAGCACAAGAGUGGUGCACCUUCA
ensembl:snRNA U2 U2 spliceosomal RNA